UAGGAUUGGGGCUUGUCCACUGCCUGCACUUCUGUUUUGAAACAGCCUCUUGAAGUUCAAAAGAUGGGCAUUUUUAGGGUCUUCAGCACCCAAAUUAAGUGGCAGAUAUAAAAAGUAAACAUUUUUCCAUUUUAAAAAAUGGAGACAAAGAAAAGCAAAUGUUUCUCACCUAAGCCAACAGACCGGCUACAUGAAUACAUUUUCCAGCCUGACAGAAGUGCCACAAAUAACUCAAAAGAGUUGCCGAAUAUUCAUAGACACACACAAAUUUACAUCCUGCAUCUGAAUCUUGCUUCCUGCCUUCCUCCCAACCCAGGGAGGAGGGGCAGGGGCUCAGAGGUAAGUCAGCCACGGGGAACACAUCUCCUUUGCCACUGAUUAUUUUGCCACCUUGGGGGACCCUCUCGGGGCCUCAGUUUCCUCAUCUGGAAAGUGGGAGUUCUAGCCCAUCAAAGAAAGACCGGUCUUCUUUCUUGGAAUGUGAGCCCUGUCCUGGCUGAGGGUCACCCGCAGGGCUCCUAUCCUCAUCAUUUCUAAGCUGGGGGCUGGGGGGCGGGCACACCCUGUGGUUCACAAAGGGCUUUCCACUUGUUGGCAAUGACACUAGAGAGUGUGCACCCCAAACUGUGCCAGGUGGUUCUCGGUGUGACUGCCUUGGAUCACACAGCAUCUCCACGAGAAGGUACUCAUUUGAUCAUUUCUGUUUUAGAGUUGAGGGGGAUGAGAUUUGGAGAGGUGAAGGGAAUUACUCAGUUACCCGGACGGGAAUGUCUGAUCCCAAAGCCUGUAUCUGCUAAACCUCUGUUCUACUGCCCAGUCCGCCCCCGGGCCAAGCAUCAUGCAGGGAUCUCUGGGAUUUAGCAGGAAGGCGACGGACCCAGGCCCCAUCCGGGAGGAGCUCAGCCCCGUGGGGCAAUGAACAUAGUGAUUAUGCUGUAAUAAACUGGGAAAGCCCACCCAUAGCGUUGGUACCACUUGGUGAGAGGGGUGGGUGUUAAAAGUCAUUUCAUGGCUUGUUGCAGGAAUAACAGCUUGUGAGGCGGAGAAGAGAAGGAAGAAGCAUUCCAGGCUGAGGCUACAGCAUGUGGGCAAAGGUACAGGGGCAUGAAAAGGGCGAGUAUGUUGAAGAUCAGGGAGAAGUUCAAAGCUGUCGAAGCAGAGGGGGCAGAUACUGGCCAGAGAAGAGACCCAAGAAGACUCCAAACACACAUUUCAAAAUAGCAGAGGCAGCCAUGGGAUGGGGAAGGAGAACCCGGCCCCAGUCCUGGUCUCACUGCUGAUGGCUUUGUGAGCCUCCAUUUCCACAUCUGUACAAUGGAGCUGAUAUCCAAGCCAGAUUCCUGCAGCCACCACCAUAAUGAACAGAACUGCUCCAUCACCACAAAGACCUCCCUGGGGCUAUCCCUUUAGAGUUAUUCCCACCUCUCUCCUUUUCACCAUUUCUAACCUCCAGCAACCAUCUAUUUUCCAUCUCUAUAAUUUUGUCAUUUUAAGAACAUUCUAUACAUGGAAUCAACAAUAUGUGACUUUUUGAGACUGUUUUUUUUUUACCCACCAUAAUGCCCGUGAGAGCUAUCCAAGUUGCUGUGUGUAUCAAGAGUCCUUUUGGAGUUCCUGUUGUGGCUCAGUGGUUAAUGAAUCUGACUAGCAUCCAUGAGGACGUAGGUUCGAUCCCUGGCCUCUCUCAGUGGGUUAAGGAUCCAAUGUUGCUAUAAG